GGUUCGAGCCCAGUGGCCAACAGAGACCUUUCUGUGUGGAGUUUGUGCAUUCUCCCCGCGUCUGUGUGGGUUUCCUCCGGGUGUGCUGGUUUCCCCCACAGUCCAAAGACAUGCGGUUAACUGGGUACUCUAAAUUGCCUGUAGGUGUGAAUGGUUGAGAGGAGAAAACCUCUAUAAAUAAUCCAGUAGAAGGCAACAGGAAACCACUACUCUUAUUCUUCCCUAGAAACGCGGACCUGCCAUCAGGCAGAACACGAAUGAAGGAGAAGCUGUAUAUGAGGAUUUAGACUAUAUAAAUAUUGACUGUUUCCAAAAUAAUACGAGUGGGGUGACUACUGGUGGAUCCAAUCAGGGAGUAACAUAUGAAAACCUCAGACACAAGCAGAAACCUGUGCAUGGUUAGGACUCUCAUCUCUUUGAGGAUAUUGAGAGAUUAAAGUUUUCUAGAGGACAGACUUCACCUGUUCUGGGAAGAGGAAGUGAAUAUUUAGUUAAACCUGAACUAAAGUACCCAAAUUAUGCCACACAAAGAUUUUACAAUCUUCUUGGAUCUGAUUGACAGCUGUGAAGAAGAGCGAAACAUUACGAUAUGGAUAUCCUGAUCUCCUGGCUGUGCAUCUGAUGCAUCAAAAUAUAAUGUUUAUAGUCCAUUUACUUGGCAUUUAAAAGAAGCUCCAGAUAUACAGACACUUUUUUAUAUUGGGAUUUGUGGAGAUUAUUACUAAUUAAAAUUAAGAUAAUUAUUGUAAUUUUCACAUUAAGUUUAGUCUCGUAAGCUGUUCUAUUGUGUUUAUGUAAAAGGCCUUCACACAGCAUGUGACGAGAAAUAUACAUUAAUGUUUAAUGAAAGGCCAC